CACAACUGAGGACGCAGCUCUUUACUUGCCUCCACAGGAUACUCCACUUGGAGGGUGGACCAGCCACUCCCCUUCCUCUGUCCUCUCCAGACACACGUCUCGACCGGCACAAGCAUCCCAGCCACCUGGGCAUGAUGUCUGUAAAGAAGGAGAAGAGCAGGGUUAGCAGAGGGGCCAAGGAGGCUUCCCUUCCUGCUAUAAGACUUUUAUUACAUUCUAUGGAGUGAAACCAUCCCACUCAAGACUUCCUAUGGGACCUUUGUUGUUGUUGAUUCGUUCAGUUGCUUCCGACUCUUCGUGACCUCCUGGACCAGCCCAGGCCAGAGCUCCCUGUCGGCAGUCGGGGCCACCCGCAGCUCCUUCAAGGUGGAGUCAGUCCCUUCAAGGAUCCCGUCCAUCCACUUUGCCCUUGGUCGGCUCCUCUUCCUUUUUCCUUCCCUUUUCCCCAGCAUCAUUCUCUUCUCCAAGCUUUCCUGUCUUCUCACGAUGUGGCCAAAGGACUUCAUCUUUGUCUCUCAUAUCCUUCCCUCCAGUGAGCAGCCACUGGGCUUUCUUUCCUGGAGGAUGGACUGUGUGGACCUUCUUGACAAUGUCCAAGGCACACUCAGCAUUGUCCUCCAACUCCACAGUUCAAAGGUGUCUCUCUUCCCUCACUCAGCGUUCCUCAUGGUCCAGCUCUCUUUCGCAUCCAUAGGUUACUACGGGGAAUACCACUGCUGUCACUAUGCUAUCCUUCAUUGCCUGUGAGAUGUCUCUGCUCUUCACUAUUUUAUCAUUGAGGUUGGCCAUUGCUCUUCUCCCAAGAAGGAAACGUCUUCUGAUUUCCUGGCUGCAGUCUGCGUCUGCAAUCAUCUUCGCAACUAGAAAUACAAAGCCUGUCACUGUCUCCAUGUUUUCUCCCUCUAUUUACAAUGCUAUGUACUGGGCUUUACAGCAUCAACCACUUGCAAUGAAAGCAAGAUCCACAAAUGAACAUAAUGCUUUGAGCUGGGCUUUACAGCAUCAACCACUUGCAAUGAAAGCAAGAUCCACAAAUGAACAUAAUGCUUUGAGCUGGGCUUUACAGCAUCAACCACUAGCAAUGAAAUAAGGUUCCACAAAGGUCACAAUGCUACGUACUGGGCUUUACAGAAUCAAACACUAGCAAUGAAAUAAGGGUCCACAAUGAGCACAAUCCUAGGGUCCACAAUUAGCACAAUGGUAAGUACUGGGCUUUAUAGAAUGAACCCCUUGCAAUGAAAGGAGGAUCCACAAGGAACAUAAUGCUUUGAACUGGGCUUUACAGAAGAAACCUCUUGCAAUGAAAGAAGGGUCCCUAAUGAUCACAAUGCUACGUACUGGGCUUUACAGAAUGAACUUCUUGCAAUAAAAGCAAGAUCCACAAAUGAACAUAAUGCUUUGAGCUGGGCUUUACAGAAGCAACCACUUGCAAUGAAAGAAGGGUCCCUAAUAGGGUUGUCCAAAUAUUCGUUAUGUUUCUCGUUUCGUAAUUAUUUCGGAUUGUUCU
rnacentral:lncRNA from 1 species